GACGAACGCUGGCGGCGUGCUUAACACAUGCCAGUCGAACGAAGUGGCGAACGGGUGAGUAAUACGUGAGUAACUGCCCUCCUUUUUGGGAUAACAGUUGGAAACGGCUGCUAAUACCGGAUAGUGGGGGAUGACUCGCGUCCUAUCAGCUUGUUGUGGGGAUAGUGGCCUACCAAGGCGAAGACGGGUAGCCGGCCUGAGAGGGCGACCGGCACAAUUGGUCGGAGAUACGGCCCAAACUCCUACGGGAGGCAGCAGUGGGGAAUAUUGCACAAUGGGGGAAACCCUGAUGCAGCAACGCGCGUGCGGGAUGACGGCCUUCGGGUUGUAAACCGCUUGCAGCCAUGACGCGGGAGUGGCAGAAGAAGCACCGGCUAACUACGUGCCAGCAGCCGCGGUAAUUC
rnacentral:rRNA from 1 species